rnacentral:rRNA from 1 species
GACGAACGCUGGCGGCGUGCUUAACACAUGCAAGUCGAACGGAAAGGCCCUGCUUUUGUGGGGUGCUCGAGUGGCGAACGGGUGAGUAACACGUGAGUAACCUGCCCUUGACUUUGGGAUAACUUCAGGAAACUGGGGCUAAUACCGGAUAGGAGCUCCUGCUGCAUGGUGGGGGUUGGAAAGUUUCGGCGGUUGGGGAUGGACUCGCGGCUUAUCAGCUUGUUGGGGGGGUAGUGGCUUACCAAGGCUUUGACGGGUAGCCGGCCUGAGAGGGUGACCGGCCACAUUGGGACUGAGAUACGGCCCAGACUCCUACGGGAGACAGCAGUGGGGAAUAUUGCACAAUGGGCGGAAGCCUGAUGCAGCAACGCCGCGUGCGGGAUGACGGCCUUCGGGUUGUAAACCGCUUUCGCCUGUGACGAAGCGUGAGUGACGGUAAUGGGUAAAGAAGCACCGGCUAACUACGU